GAUAGUUUAGGUGGUAGAGCAUGAGACUCUUAAUCUCAUUGUUGUGGGUUCAAGCCCCACAUCA